AUUGUGAAGAGAGCCCCACCUCCUGUUACAAAUACUCACCAGUCUUUACAACACAGAGCUGUGAGCCUUUUGGCUGUGACUAAUAGAAAAUGGGAUCAUUGCAGUAUAGUGGUGUUCAGUAAUAUUGUCUUAUUAGAAAAGACAGUGGACUAUUCAGUAUUCAUCAAUAAUUCUGCAACUUCUGACCACUGGAAGUGAGGUGGAAAAGGUUUACAACUUGAUGUAAAUCCUGCAACAUAACAAUGCAACAAUUCAACCAGCGUUACGUUGUCCCUGCUCUUCUCCUGGUGGCCUGGAUAGUGGGCUGUUCUGUGGUCGUUUAUUACAUUUUCUCCUGAGGAGUUGGACACAGCAGCAGGUAAA